rnacentral:rRNA from 1 species
UACGUAGGGUCCAAGCGUUAAUCGGAAUUACUGGGCGUAAAGCGUGCGCAGGCGGCUCGUUAAGUCAGCUGUGAAAUCCCCGAGCUUAACUUGGGAACUGCCGUUGAUACUAUAGAUCUUGAAUAUCGUGGAGGUAAGCGGAAUAUGUCAUGUAGCGGUGAAAUGCUUAGAUAUGACAUAGAACACCAAUUGCGAAGGCAGCUUACUACACGAUCAUUGACACUGAGGCACGAAAGCGUGGGGAGCAAACAGG